rnacentral:rRNA from 1 species
AUACGGAGGAUGCGAGCGUUAUCCGGAUUUAUUGGGUUUAAAGGGUGCGUAGGCGGACGAUUAAGUCAGCUGUGAAAUGCCCGCGCUUAACGCGGGAAGUGCAGUUGAUACUGGUUGUCUGGAGUGCCGUUGCCGUGGGGGGAAUGUGUAGUGUAGCGGUGAAAUGCAUAGAUAUUACACAGAACGCCGAUUGUGAAGACACCUCACGAAGCGGUAACUGACGCUGAGGCACGAAAGCGUGGGGAUCGAACAGGAUUAGAUACCCUGGUAGUCCACGCAGUAAACGAUGAUCACUCGUUGUUGGGGGGCGACUCUCAGCGGCCAAGCGAAAGCGAUAAGUGAUCCACCUGGGGAGUACGAUCGCAAGGUUGAAACUCAAAUGAAUUGACGGGG